rnacentral:lncRNA from 1 species
CUCUUCCUCCCUCAGGCUCCUGAGUGUUGAGACCUCAGGGGCAUACCACCACACCCAGAUCUGAUUCACACUUUUUCUUGAAGGGCUCUGGGUGUAGUUCAGUCCAGCUUGCCUAGCAUGUUCAAGGUUCAGGGUUCAAUCCCCAGAAUGGUAAAGCAAAAGAAAACAGAAUCAGAUGUUGUUAAGAAACACAAAAGCCCUUUGUCAGUUAGCCGUGACCUUUCAACAUGGCAGGGAGUUAUUUCUGCACUGCCCCAACUAUCGCUGUGAAAAGGCAACAAGAACUCUCAAAUAAUAUUGAACUGUAUCAAACUGCUAACCCAUUGCGGCAAAAGGUGAGAACCCGCCCGUGGAUCACAAUCCUAACUAAACAGUUCUCUUCGUAGAGUGUUUCUCUGGAGCCAGACAUUAAUCAACUUCCUGCCUUCUCAGCACUAACUCAGUGAACUCUCACAAUGACCCCAGGAGGUAGGUUCUAUUUUUACCCUCUGUUCGAAAUAGGAAAACAACAGAAGUUAAGUAACAUCUAAAAUGAUGUAGCUGGCAAGUGGCAAAGGCAGUAUUUGAACCAUUAUUGGUACCGUUUGCUGCCAACAUUCACCUCAGCAGCCACAGUGAAGUCUCAUCAAAACCGUUACCUGUCACUUUGUGAAUCAGUGUGGUCCACGUGACAAGCUAAGGCUUCAUUUCGCCCCUGUGUCUAACCACAACUUCAUUAUCCAAGUGCUGAGUCAUUUCCCUUUUCUGUGCUAAGGCAUAUGGACAUCCCGGGCAGCCUCACCUUCUGGACAUUGCUCUUAGCACUAUCCUUUCUAAGAGAAGCUACAGGUUCAAGGGGGGAAGUCUGGAGUCUUCCAGGUUAGGAUGGUGUCAUGUAAUGAAUUCCUCCAAACUGAAACUUUCUAUUUCUGAGGGAAGAUGGGUCAGUCUUGAGAAGUUCUAAGGGAAGGCUCAUUAAGAUGCAGGAAGUUAACAACUGACAAGUAUCGGGAAGUCCCUGAGACUUGUCAGAUGCACAGACCACCCUCCUCCCAGGGAUAUGUAAGCAGUAACGACUGCUAAAAAGAGAUUCUGUAGCCUAUUGAGCUGCCUGCAAAUAGUCUCGGUUCUAGCUUUCACGAGUCAUGGCCCAUGCCAAGGGGGAUUCUGAGUGAUGCAACUGCCUUUGAGUUAUUCCUACUCCUUGUUCCAGGAGUCCCAGAACAGUGACUGAUGACACGGGCAUCUAGCAACUGUCAAAUCCACCGUUGGAAUGGAUGUCUACUUCUCUGCUAAUAUGAUUCCUUGGUGGCUGAGUUUCCUGGCUUUCAUCACUGUAAUCGAUUCAGCUUCAUUUGGAAGUUUUACAGUCUCUGCAGCACUUUCCACAGUUGGGAGAUAAAUAGCAAUUAAAAACUCUUAGGCUGUCGGGGUGGCUCAGUGUGUCAGGGUGCUUCUUGCUAAGCCUGAGGACCUGAGUUCAAUUCCUGGGACUCAUGAGUUAGAAUGAGAGAGCUGACUCCUGAAAGUUGUCCUCUGACCUCCACAUACAUGCUUCUACACACACACACACACACACACACUUACAAACAUACACACACACACAUACACACAUAAACAUGCACAUACACCAUUUUUAUUGAUUUUUAAAAAUUCUUUAAUUACUACUCAUAUUUACAUAUCCAUCCCCCCAUUCCCUUGCCCUCCAACCCUCCAUGUUCCCCAUCAACCUCCCCAACCCAUCCCCCAACUCCUCCCCAGGGAUAGUGAGGCCCUCCACCAGGGACCUUCAAAGUCUGUCAUAUAGUUUGGGGGAGGGCCUAGGCCCUCCUUGCUGUAUCUGGGCUGCAAUAGUAUCCCUCCAUAGGGAACGGGCUCCCAAAGUCCAUUUGUGCUCUAGGGUUAAAGACUGGCUCCACUGUCAGAGGUCCCAUAGACUGUCUUGGCCUCCGAGCUGGCACCCACAUUCAGAGGGCUUGGUUUGGCUCAAUGCUAUUUCCCCAGCUUUAUGACUAGGGUCUCCAUGCUCUCACUAGGUCAGGUCAACUGUUUCUGCAGGUCUCUCCAGUCCCAUCUUAGCUCCUUUGUUCAUCCCUCCUCCCUCUCCACAACUGGAUUUCAGGGGUAUGGUUCAGUGCUUAGCUGUGGGUACCUGUUUCUGCUUUGAAAAGCUACUGGAUGAAGGCUCCAGGAAUGGUAACCAAG